GUGCCAGCCGCCGCGGUAAUACGAAGGGGGCUAGCGUUGUUCGGAUUUACUGGGCGUAAAGCGCACGUAGGCGGAUUGUUAAGUCGGGGGUGAAAUCCUGGAGCUCAACUCCAGAAUUGCCUUCGAUACUGGCUUUCUAGAGGCUGGAAGAGGUUAGUGGAAUUCCCAGUGUAGAGGUGAAAUUCGUAGAUAUUGGGAAGAACACCAGUGGCGAAGGCGGCUAACUGGUCCAGAUCUGACGCUGAGGUGCGAAAGCGUGGGGAGCAAACAGGAUUAGAAACCCCCGUAGUCC
rnacentral:rRNA from 1 species